rnacentral:rRNA from 1 species
GACGAACGCUGGCGGCGUGCUUAACACAUGCAAGUCGAACGGAAAGGCCCUGCUUUUGUGGGGUGCUCGAGUGGCGAACGGGUGAGUAACACGUGUGUAACCUGCCCUUGACUUUGGGAUAAAUUCUGGAAACUGGGGCUCAUACCGGAUAGGAGCUCCUGCUGCAUGGGGGGGGUUGGAAAGUUUCGGCGUUUGGGGAUGGACUCGCGGCUUAUCAGCCUGUUGGUGGGGUAGUGGCUUACCAAGGCUUGGACGGGUAGCCGGCCUGAGAGGGGGACCGGCCACACUGGGACUGAGAUACGGCCCAGACUCCUACGGGAGGCAGCGGUGGGGAAUAUUGCACAAUGGGGGGAAGCCUGAUGCAGCAACGCCGCGUGCGGGAUGACGGCCUUCGGGUUGUAAACCGCUUUCGCCGGUGACGAAGCGUGAGUGACGGUAAUGGGUAAAGAAGCACCGGCUAACUACGUG